rnacentral:lncRNA from 1 species
AGAAGCUGCCCAGCAGAAUCCAACCUUGGAUAGAUGCCAUAGCCCAUAUCUUUGCUCUGCAAUAUACAGCUGAGAACCUCUGGAUUGUAGCAUUCAAAUAUGUUGAUGUGUGCCAUAGUUCCCAAAGAUUCCCAUAUCUGAAUUUGUUUUCACUUCCACAAUUCUGACAUUUGCUACCAAAUUGUGGUAGUCUGUACUUCAUAUUUGUAAAAUAGUAAAAGUGCAUACUUGAAUGAAGUUACUUUGGAUUUACAAAGGAGCUUUCAGUCUGCCCGAGAUACCCAGAGGAGAAGUUAUUUCUGCCAUUGAGAGCAGCAACAUCAGUAACAGCACAGCCAUUCCAGGUAAAAAUAACCUCGAUGGAGAGUCCUGUCACAGGC